AUUCAGAUAAGGAUCUGAUUAAAAUUACUAGUAUUUGUGUAUAUGGAAUUAUACAAUGACGUGGCAGAGACACGUCGGUCUUGUCAGUCGUUGUGGGAUCAUUUAAAGGAUAAAUACUAACGUUCAUGUUCAAAUUUAAAAAGAAGGAUUUUUACACUUGGUGCAGGAUACCGGACGACCAUGUUUUAUCUCCGACCUGUUUGAGUGGUUCAGGACAUAUUUCGUUCUGUUUUUAUAGACGUGUUGUAGUCCUGUUUUAUAGAUGUGUUGUAGUCCUGUUUUUAUAGACGUGUUGUAAUCGUGUUUUAUAGACGUGUUGUAAUCCUGUUUUAUAGACGUUUUGAAAUCCUAUUUUAUAGACGUGUUGUAGUCCUGUUUUAUAGACGUGUUGUACUCCUGUUAUUAUAGACGUGUUGUAGUCCUGUUUUAAAGACGUGUUGUAGUCCUGUUUUAUAGACGUGUUGUAACCCUGUUAUUAUAGACGUGUUGUAAUCCUGUUUUAUAGACGUGCUGUAGUCCUGUUUUAUAGACGUGUUGUAAUCCUGUUAUUAUAGACGUGUUGUAAUCCUGUUAUCAUAGACGUGUGGUAAUCCUGUUAUUAUAGACGUGUUGUAGUCCUGUUAUAAUAGACGUGUUGUAAUCCUGUUAUUAUAGACGUGUUGUAGUCCUGUUGUUAUAGACGUGUUGUAAUCCUGUUAUCAUAGACGUGUUGUAGUCCUGUUAUUAUAGACGUGUUGUAGUCCUGUUAUUAUAGACGUGUUGUAGUCCUGUUAUUAUAGACGUGUUGUAUUCCAGUAUUAUAGACGUGUUGUAGUCCUGUUAUUAUAGAAGUGUUGUAGUCCUGUUAUCAUAGACGUGUUGUAAUCCUGUAAUCAGUAUUUGUCUUGAAUGGAGACAUUUCAGAUUCAUAUGUUUUUCUUACUCUUUCGAGGGAAGGGCGGGUAUCUAUAUUUUCUAAAAUUAUUUGUGUGUUCGUUUAAAAGGUCAUUUGAUGAGAAUUUCAGUGGAAAGAAAGAGGUUUAUUUUAUUCAUCUUUUCUUUUUCCUUCCUCAAUUCUUAAGUUUGAUAUAGAUUCAAAUGAUAAAACAAAAGACUAAGGCAUAUUUUUGUCUUUUCUUUUGUUAAGGGUCUCUGUUAAUGUUUCCUUUGUUGAUAUGCUGCCUCAUUCCAUCAAUUAUGAGUUGGAAUGAGUUUUGUAGUGCGGCAGUUCCUUUCAUAAUUCGGUACUCUUUUUACAAUUCGGUAUACUUUUUGUAGUUUCCCCUCUUUCGUUGUCUACAAAAUCAACAGCAUAUUUGGAUAUACCAGUAUUUGGAUUUCAAUGAACAACAGAGGAAGAAUCUCACAACCAGGCGCAGGGACCACCUCAACAAAACGUUGGACCGCGACCUCAUGUGAUCUACCUUGGGUCACUUCGAGGUUGGCAGGUACCACCAAACCGGGUGAUAAUCAACCGCCACAGAAUGGUUAUAUCCGGCAAGGUUAACAAUUAUCCAGUCCAGUAAUCGGACAACAGUCACAACCCUUAAUAGCAAUAUGAAGCAGAAUGGCACAACGCUUUAGGAGACAUUUCCUGUCACUGUUCUGCAUGGAUUCCUUCACCGUUUACCGAAGUGAAAUCACGACACAUCCUACAGCUGUUACAAAAGUCAGAUUCAGUAACAAUUCUUAUAUGGUGGAAAUAUAUCCUAGAUAUACCAACGACUGUUAUAUAAACGGAUUAUAUUCGAGAUAAAUCAGAUUUGGCAUGAUAAUAAUAUAGAAUAUAAUACCUUAGUGAUUUAUAUUUCUAAUUGCACACUUCAAAUAAUAAUAUAUCAUCGAUGUGCAUUGAUUCCAAAUAGUGACUUUUGAUUGAUUCACAUACGGGUAUAAAAGCAGAAAAAUGAUCCAUCGGACAAAGUAAUAAUAUAAAAAGAAAAAUGAUCAACAACGAGACUUGCGUACUUUCAUCUCGUCAAGGAGAUUCUUCAGACUUUUUAUUUGAAGUAGAUAAUGUGACGUCAUAUUUUAUGACGUCAUAUAAUAGUUCGCUAUAGCGACGUCCGCUAUAUGCGUUCCCGCCAUAGCGAUAUCACAGCAAUACAAAUACAUGAUUAUGGUCUUAAGGUAAAGAGUACUAUUUGUUUAGGUUUUAGAAUUACUAUAGCGAACUAUUAUGUGAUGUUUUAGGGGUGAUGCGAUAAUACCGAUGCUACAUUUGUUGCGAUGUAUUCUAUAUAACCCCAAAACAAUCCGUUUAAUUUCUAAUUAUCAAAUAAAACAUUUAAGUGCCUAGUUUUCUAAGAAACAUAAAGAUGAUUUUUAGCUCAAAACAUAUUGCGCUCGUGGUCUUGUAACUUUUAUCAAUGCUAUGGGACGUUAUCACUGUUGGUGUUGUCAUUUUGUUUUUUUUGUUUUGUUUUUUGUUUUGUUUUUUUUUG